rnacentral:lncRNA from 1 species
CGACGCUGCGGGCGAGCAGCCCGGGCUCCGGCAGCCGCCACCGUCGCCGCCGCCGCCACCCGGAGGACCCGGCAAAAGUUUGGAUCUGGGGGAGGACGCGGCGCUGAGCCGGAUGACCAGCGGGGCCCGGAGGAGACCUGGAGAAUCUCCGCAGUGCUGAAUGAUACAGUAAUAAUACUUGAAGAAGAAAAAUGUUUGCCUGAAACAUACUGCUCUGAAGAGUUCUGCUAAUAAAACAAGAAGAGUUUGGAGGUAUAUGUGUGGGGAGUCAGAAACGCACAAACAAAUCUAAGUCUUGGAUACCACGGGAGGGGGUACUUAUUCUAUUCCUAAGCUUGGUGGUGCUAAUUUAGCCCAUAUGUUCCUAACAGAAUAGAAGGAUGAGAUAGCCCAAGUUAUUUUUAAUUGGACAUUUUCUUUUCCAGAUAGGUCCUAAGGAAACUCUGAAUAAAGAAAAGCACAAAAUGCAAUGGGGGAAUUUAUUUUUGUGUGAAUGGCUUGGAACUCAUGAAGGAGACAUGAUUCUUUUCGAGGCAGAGGGUACACACCAGAUGAUAAAAUACAAGAUACCUAAUUUAUUUCAUAAAUGUCUUGAAGACUAUGAUGCUCAUGGACAUCAAUUAUUUUCGUGUUCUUUAAGACAUUCUUCAGGCAACAACAGUUCAAUAACAGGAAAGAAUGGCAUCACAGGAUUGCAUCAUGUUCUUCAAAAUGAAAUCUAUUGAUGGUUGAACAGUAUAAACAACAAGGAACAUAAAUGGUCAGAAGGACCCAAGGGAAACAGGCCAAUGAAAUUAAACAAAGGAAAUUUUAUACUGUAAGGAGAAAUCAAAGGGUUGCAACAGAACCCUGCAUGAAGGGACAGAGCUCUUGAGUCCCAGACCUAGAGGCAGUUGAGAACCCGUGUGGAGUAAAGCCUGAGCUUUUUGGUUUCCUUUUGUGAGGCUAUUUUCACAGUGUUAAAUAUAAAAAGAAAUAAUAAAUAAAUGUAUUUUAAAUCUAUUUUUUCUUAC